UACGGAGGGUGCAAGCGUUAUUCGGAAUUACUGGGCGUAAAGGGCGUGUAGGCGGCUGAUCAAGUCGGGAGUGAAAGCCCGGGGCUUACCCCCGGAAGUGCGCUCGAAACUGGUCAGCUAGAGUCUGGGAGAGGGAAGUGGAAUUCCUGGUGUAGCGGUGAAAUGCGUAGAUAUCAGGAGGAACACCGGCGGCGAAGGCGGCUUCCUGGACCUAUAAUGACGCUGAGACGCGAAAGCGUGGGGAGCAAACAGG
rnacentral:rRNA from 1 species